UACGGAGGGUGCAAGCGUUUAAUCGGAAUUACUGGGCGUAAAGCGUGCGCAGGCGGCUUUGCAAGACAGAUGUGAAAUCCCCGGGCUCAACCUGGGAACUGCAUUUGUGACUGCAUGGCUGGAGUGCGGCAGAGGGGGAUGGAAUUCCGCGUGUAGCAGUGAAAUGCGUAGAUAUGCGGAGGAACACCGAUGGCGAAGGCAAUCCCCUGGGCCUGGCCUGACGCUGAGACGCGAAAGCGUGGGGAGCAAACAGG
rnacentral:rRNA from 1 species